AUUGAACGCUGGCGGCAGGCCUAACACAUGCAAGUCGAGCGAACCUAGCUUGCUAGGUGAGCGGCGAACGGGUGAGUAACACGUAGGAAUCUGCCCGAUAGUGGGGGACAACGUUUCGAAAGGGACGCUAAUACCGCAUACGCCCUACGGGGGAAAGCAGGGGAUCUUCGGACCUCGCGCUAUCGGAUGAGCCUGCGUCGGAUUAGCUAGUUGGGGGGGUAAAGGCCCACCAAGGCGACGAUCCGUAGCUGGUCUGAGAGGAUGAUCAGCCACACCGGAACUGAGACACGGUCCGGACUCCUACGGGAGGCAGCAGUGGGGAAUAUUGGACAAUGGGGGCAACCCUGAUCCAGCCAUGCCGCGUGUGUGAAGAAGGCCUUCGGGUUGUAAAGCACUUUAAGAGGGGAGGAAGGUUCGUUGGCUAAUACCCAGCGGAAUUGACGUUACCCUCAGAAUAAGCACCGGCUAACUCCGUGCCAGCCGCCGCAGUAACAC
rnacentral:rRNA from 1 species